rnacentral:tRNA from 1 species
GCUAUCAUAGCUCAGUAGGUAGAGUGCGUCCUUGGUAAGGACGAGGUCCCGGGUUCGAUCCCCGGUGUUAGCUCCA